rnacentral:rRNA from 1 species
UACGGGGGGGGCAAGCGUUGUUCGGAAUUACUGGGCGUAAAGGGCUCGUAGGUGGCCAACUCAGUCAGACGUGAAAUCCCUCGGCUUAACCGGGGAACCGCGUCUGAUACUGGAUGGCUUGAGUUUGGGAGAGGGAUGCGGAAUUCCAGGUGUAGCGGUGAAAUGCGUAGAUAUCUGGAGGAACACCGGUGGCGAAGGCGGCGUCCUGGACCAACACUGACACUGAGGAGCGAAAGCCAGGGGAGCAAACGGG